GUGUCAGCCGCCGCGGUAAGACAGAGGAGCCAAGCGUUGUCCGGAGUGACUGGGCGUAAAGCGCACGCAGGCGGUCGGGUACGUGGGGUGUGAAAGCUCUCGGCUCAACUGAGAGAGGCCACCUCAUACGGCGCGGCUCGAGCCCUGCAGAGGUCCAUGGAAUUGCCGGUGUAGUGGUGAAAUGCGUAGAGAUCGGCAGGAACACCCAGGGGGAAACCAGUGGACUGGGCAGGAGCUGACGCUCAGGUGCGAAAGCGUGGGGAGCGAACCGGAUUAGAAACCCGCGUAGUCC
rnacentral:rRNA from 1 species